rnacentral:tRNA from 1 species
AAAAUCCGUCGACUUUUUAAAUCGUGAGGGUUCAAGUCCCUAGCCGUUGACGCCCU